GUAAUGGCGGCAGUGGAACCGGCCGCAGCGGAGCCCACGGCAGCAUCGUGAGCGGCGGCAGCGGCGGCGGCGGCGGCGGCGGCGGCAGCGACCGACGGGGGACACUGGUGAGGGGAACGGCGCGGCGGAGCAGACACACAGUGGAUCUGUAUGGCGUGUGACAUGGGCACAUCCUGAAUUCGGACAGGUUUUGGCUUCCUGUUCUUUUGACCGAACAGCUGCUGUGUGGGAAGAAAUAGUAGGAGAAUCAAAUGAUAAACUGCGAGGACAGAGUCACUGGAAACUGACAAGCUGAUCUUAAUAUUCAUGUGAAAAUGCAAGGAACCCAGAGGAGCCAAGACAAUCUUGAGAAAAAAGAACAAAGUUGGCGGACUCACACUUCCUGAUUUCAAAAUGUACUACUAAAGUAUGGUAGUACUUUAAAGUAUAAUCCCAAAGGCACAAGGACAAAAGAAAAAACUGAUAAGUUGGACUAUAAUAACAUUAAAAACUUUUGUGCUUCAAAGGACACAAUUGAGAAAGGGGAGAGACACCACCGAAUAAAAGAAAAUAUUUGCAAAUUAUAUAUUUAAUAAGGGACAUGUAUCCAUAAUAUAAAAUAAACUCUAACAAUUCUUACAUUCAAUAAUAAAAAGACAAAUAACACAAUCAGAAGUGGGUAAUAAUCUGAAAAGACAUUUCUGCAAAGAAUAUGUAUGUAAAUACCAAUAAGCACCUUGACAUGGUGCUCUACCUCAUUAGUCAUUAGAGAAAAGUAAAUCAAAAUUUCAUGGAGACACAACACACCAAUAAUAAAAAAGGACAGAUAAAAAUCUUGAUGCAAAUGUGUGGAAAUUAUAACCCUCAUGAAUUUAUAGUGGGAAUGUAAAUAUUGUAGA